rnacentral:rRNA from 1 species
AUGCAAGUCGUACGGAAAAGCAAUUUUUAGUGGCGGACGGGUGAGUAACGCGUGAGAAUCUGCCUUUAGGAAGAGGAUAACAUUUAGAAAUAUCUGCUAAAACUCUAUAUGCACUUCGGUGUGAAAAGAUUAUAUCUGCCUAGAGAGGAGCUCGCGUCUGAUUAGCUAGUUGGCAGGGUAAAGGCCUACCAAGGCGACGAUCAGUAGCUGGUCUGAGAGGACGACCAGCCACACUGGAACUGAGACACGGUCCAGACUCCUACGGGAGGCAGCAGUGAGGAAUUUUCUGCAAUGGGCGAAAGCCUGACAGAGCAAUACCGCGUGAGGGAUGAAGGCCUACGGGUUGUAAACCUCUUUUCUCAAGGAGGAAGAACUGACGUUACUUGAGGAAUAAGCAUCGGCUAACCCUGUGCCAGCAGCCGCGGUAAUACAGGGGAUGCAAGUGUUAUCCGGAAUUAUUGGGCGUAAAGCGUCUGCAGGUUGAUAUUUAAGUCUUUUGUUAAAUCUUUGGGCUUAACCCAAAAACUGCAAAAGAAACUAUUUAUCUUGAGUAUGGUAGAGGUAAAGGGAAUUUCCAGUGGAGCGGUGAAAUGCGUAGAUAUUGGAGAGAACACCAACAGCGAAGGCACUUUACUGGGCCAGUACUGACACUCAGAGACGAGAGCUAGGGGAGCAAACGGGAUUAGAUACCCCGGUAGUCCUAGCUGUAAACGAUGGAUACUAGAUGUUGUGUGCUUUCGGGCAUGCAGUGUCGUAGCUAACGCGUUAAGUAUCACGCCUGGGAAGUAUGCUCGCAAGAGUGAAACUCANAGGAAUUGACGGGGGCCCGCACAAGCGGUGGAGCAUGUGGUUUAAUUCGAUGCAACACGAAGAACCUUACCAGGACUUGACAUGAA